AACGCUGGCGGCGUGCUUAGCACAUGCAAGUCGAACGGAAAGGCCCUGCUUUUGUGGGGUGCUCGAGUGGCGAACGGGUGAGUAACACGUGAGUAACCUGCCCUUGACUUUGGGAUAACUUCAGGAAACUGGGGCUAAUACCGGAUAGGAGCUCCUGCUGCAUGGUGGGGGUUGGAAAGUUUCGGCGGUUGGGGAUGGACUCGCGGCUUAUCAGCUUGUUGGUGGGGUAGUGGCUUACCAAGGCUUUGACGGGUAGCCGGCCUGAGAGGGUGACCGGCCACAUUGGGACUGAGAUACGGCCCAGACUCCUACGGGAGGCAGCAGUGGGGAAUAUUGCACAAUGGGCGGAAGCCUGAUGCAGCAACGCCGCGUGCGGGAUGACGGCCUUCGGGUUGUAAACCGCUUUCGCCUGUGACGAAGCGUGAGUGACGGUAAUGGGUAAAGAAGCACCGGCUAACUACGUGCCAGCAGCCGCGGUGAUACGUAGGGUGCGAGCGUUGUCCGGAUUUAUUGGGCGUAAAGGGCUCGUAGGUGGUUGAUCGCGUCGGAAGUGUAAUCUUGGGGCUUAACCCUGAGCGUGCUUUCGAUACGGGUUGACUUGAGGAAGGUAGGGGAGAAUGGAAUUCCUGGUGGAGCGGUGGAAUGCGCAGAUAUCAGGAGGAACACCAGUGGCGAAGGCGGUUCUCUGGGCCUUUCCUGACGCUGAGGAGCGAAAGCGUGGGGAGCGAACAGGCUUAGAUACCCUGGUAGUCCACGCUGUAAACGGUGGGUACUAGGUGUGGGGUCCAUUCCACGGGUUCCGUGCCGUAGCUAACGCUUUAAGUACCCCGCCUGGGGAGUACGGCCGCAAGGCUAAAACUCAAAGGAAUUGACGGGGCCCCGCACAAGCGGCGGAGCAUGCGGAUUAAUUCGAUGCAACGCGUAGAACCUUACCUGGGUUUGACAUGGAUCGGGAGUGCUCAGAGAUGGGUGUGCCUCUUUUGGGGUCGGUUCACAGGUGGUGCAUGGCUGUCGUCAGCUCGUGUCGUGAGAUGUUGGGUUAAGUCCCGCAACGAGCGCAACCCUUGUUCACUGUUGCCAGCACGUUAUGGUGGGGACUCAGUGGAGACCGCCGGGGUCAACUCGGAGGAAGGUGGGGAUGACGUCAAGUCAUCAUGCCCCUUAUGUCCAGGGCUUCACGCAUGCUACAAUGGCUGGUACAGAGAGUGGCGAGCCUGUGAGGGUGAGCGAAUCUCGGAAAGCCGGUCUCAGUUCGGAUUGGGGUCUGCAACUCGACCUCAUGAAGUCGGAGUCGCUAGUAAUCGCAGAUCAGCAACGCUGCGGUGAAUACGUUCCCGGGGCUUGUACACACCGCCCGUCAAGUCAUGAAAGUUGGUAACACCCGAAGCCGAUGGCCUAACCGUUGUGGGGGAGCCGUCGAAGGUGGGACU
rnacentral:rRNA from 1 species